rnacentral:rRNA from 1 species
AUUCCAGCUCCAAUAGCGUAUAUUAAAGUUGUUGCAGUUAAAAAGCUCGUAGUUGGAUUCCUGGUUAGAGCGGCCGGUCUGGUCCGAAUGGGCUAGUACUUUGAGCUGUCUUUGACCUUCCUUUGGGAGAAUCUGUGUUGUUAUUAAUUUAACAGUGCAGGGGACCCCAAUCGUUUACUGUGAAAAAAUUAGAGUGUUUAAAGCAGGCAUUUGCUGUGAAUACAUUAGCAUGGAAUAAUAAGAUAGGACUUUGGUGCUAUUUUGUUGGUUUGCACACCAAGGUAAUGAUUAACAGGGACAGUUGGGGGUAUUCGUAUUUAAUUGUCAGAGGUGAAAUUCAUGGAUUUAUGAAAGACGAACUACUGCGAAAGCAUUUACCAAGGAUGUUUUCAUUA